rnacentral:rRNA from 1 species
GUGUCAGCCGCCGCGGUAAUACGAAGGGUGCGAGCGUUGUUCGGAAUUAUUGGGCGUAAAGCGCACGUAGGCGGCCUUGUAAGUCUCACUGUGAAAGCCCGGGGCUCAACCCCGGGAGGCCAGGGGAUACUGCGAGGCUGGAGACAAGCAGAGGUUGGUAGAAUUCCGGGUGUAGCGGUGGAAUGCGUAGAGAUCCGGAGGAAUACCAGAGGCGAAGGCGGCCAACUGGGCUUGUUCUGACGCUGAGGUGCGAAAGCGUGGGGAGCGAACAGGAUUAGAAACCCCCGUAGUCC